rnacentral:rRNA from 1 species
AGUGAACGCUGGCGGUAGGCCUAACACAUGCAAGUCGAACGGCAGCACGGUAAGAGCUUGCUCUUACGGGUGGCGAGUGGCGGACGGGUGAGGAAUACAUCGGAAUCUACUUUUUCGUGGGGGAUAACGUAGGGAAACUGACGCUAAUACCGCAUACGACCUACGGGUGAAAGCAGGGGAUCUUCGGACCUUGCGCGAUUGAAUGAGCCGAUGUCGGAUUAGCUAGUUGGCGGGGUAAAGGCCCACCAAGGCGACGAUCCGUAGCUGGUCUGAGAGGAUGAUCCGCCACACUGGAACUGAGACACGGUCCAGACUCCUACGGGAGGCAGCAGUUGGGAAUAUUGGGCAAUGGGCGCAAGCCUGAUCCAGCCAUACCGCGUGGGUGAAGAAGGCCUUCGGGUUGUAAAGCCCUUUUGUUGGGAAAGAAAAGCAGCAGGUUAAUACCCCGCUGUUCUGACGGUACCCAAAGAAUAAGCACCGGCUAACUUCGUG